rnacentral:rRNA from 1 species
GGUCUAGUAACGGCGAGUGAAGCGGCAAGAGCUCAAAUUUGAAAGCUGGCUCCUUCGGAGUCCGCAUUGUAAUUUGCAGAGGAUGCUUUGGGUGCGGCCCCCGUCUAAGUGCCCUGGAACGGGCCGUCAGAGAGGGUGAGAAUCCCGUCUUGGGCGGGGUGUCCGUGCCCGUGUAAAGCUCCUUCGACGAGUCGAGUUGUUUGGGAAUGCAGCUCUAAAUGGGUGGUAAAUUUCAUCUAAAGCUAAAUACUGGCCGGAGACCGAUAGCGCACAAGUAGAGUGAUCGAAAGAUGAAAAGCACUUUGAAAAGAGAGUUAAACAGCACGUGAAAUUGUUGAAAGGGAAGCGCUUGCGACCAGACUCGCCCGCGGGGUUCAGCCGGCAUUCGUGCCGGUGUACUUCCCCGUGGGCGGGCCAGCGUCGGUUUGGGCGGCCGGUCAAAGGCCCCUGGAAUGUAGUGCCCUCCGGGGCACCUUAUAGCCAGGGGUGCAAUGCGGCCAGCCUGGACCGAGGAACGCGCUUCGGCACGGACGCUGGCAUAAUGGUCGUAAACGACCCGUCUUGAAACACGGACCAAGGAGUCUAACAUCUACGCGAGUGUUCGGGUGUCAAACCCGUGCGCGCAGUGAAAGCGAACGGAGGUGGGAGCCCCCUUGCGGGGCGCACCAUCGACCGAUCCUGAUGUCUUCGGAUGGAUUUGAGUAAGAGCGUAGCUGUGGGGACCCGAAAGAUGGUGAACUAUGCCUGAAUAGGGCGAAGCCAGAGGAAACUCUGGUGGAGGCUCGCAGCGGUUCUGACGUGCAAAUCGAUCGUCAACUUUGG